AAGGAUCUUCAUGUUGUUGGUUUUCUUACAAAUCCACUCAUUGGUAAUGAUGGUUUAAUUUCUUUGAUAUUUUCUUCAGUUUAGGGACAGCAGCAGUUUUACCACCGAUGGUGUUGCAUGUAAGCUGGAUGUUCUCAUUGUUCUCUUGGCUCUGAUCGGGUGAGUUCUUCCCUAUUUCCUUUUACGGUAGUAUGGUUGUAUGCAUAUGCCUCUUGAUAUUUACCAGCUCUUCUUAGGAUUGCCUAACUAGCAUAUAUAUUCUCAGAAAAAUUACUAUCUACGGCCCAUUGUCAGCUAUACAACUUUUGAAUUCUGUGAAGUUCAGUUCAGAUUUGAUAGCUAUGUCAAAACUCAAUAUUGUAUAACAUGUUUUUUGUAUGAGUGAUAUCAGCUUUCUGAGUCAGAUAAUUUUAUCGUAAGUGCUUAACUUGAUGACUUUGUAAACUUGCAAGACAGAAAUUUCAUUCUGUAAGGAAGUGAAAGACCUUCUCAUUUUCUGAUUGUUCUACCUCUCUGACUGAAACAGGAACUUUCGCGCAAAGAAAACACACACAGGGCAGGAACAUGAGUACUCUCGCCCUUCCAUGUUUCUAGUCGAUCGAACUCUUCGGUGACCAGAAAAUGAGAAAAGGGCAGGUCGUCGAUGUACAGACCACAGGCGCUCGGACGCACGGCCGGCAUCAUGGUCGUCAUAGCUCAUAACCCAUGAGGGGGUGACGAAGCAUGAAAGGAAGGUUAGUUGACUCUCCUCUAAUUCAUUUUGUUGCUGUUGAGAAACUCUCCUCUCCGAUUCUGAUUGUCUUAGUUAGUCCUUGGAAAUCUCCCAACAUUAGAUUAAUUUAUGCAUUAAAAACUACAAAGGGUACAAUAGUAGAAAUUAUAGUCAUAGAAACUGAUGUGGGUUGCAGAACUCCCCGGCGACGAGCCCAACGGUCUUGUACUUCGCCCAGACAAGCACCAUUGGGUCCACGUUGCAGCCAGCGGCUGCGGCCAUGCAUUUGGAAAUUGCAGGAGUUUUUUCUUGAAAAGAAAAUAUAAAAUUUACAGCUGUUGCACCACUGAUAGAGAUGUGUCUUGCUGUAAUAAGAUGAUGGGCUCAUGACUUAUCUUUAUUGGACAAAACAAGGAAUCUAGCCAUAACUAUGUACAUAUCUGGAUACUCAUCUUUUUUUUCUCAAGCUAUCAUGUCAAGUGUAGAGGAAAUGAUGAUAUACAGAAUAAGGAGAAAGACAUGCUGACGGUACAUCCGGUUCCAAUUUUCAUCAUACUAUGUGCUAAUAUAUGCUCUCAAUGAUAUAUGCCACCUUGCGCUAUCUACACACGUAACAUGUUCUUCUUUUGUAUAAUUAUACACUAUAAAAUUAUUGUAUGCUUACCUUUGGUGGAAUUUCAGAGUUGAAAGGACAUGAAGUUUCCACGCGAGGGGAGUUAAUUUUGGUUGUCCUUUGUUUCAUAAAAAAUGUUGGUAUAAUUUAGAACUAUGUUUAUUUGGUGUAACCGGAAUUAAUCACUGGUUAAACAUAUAGAAGGAGUCUCUCUAUUGGAAGGGGAAAAUAUAAUAUUAGACACCAUUUAUUUUUCUGCUUGCUGAUGCAUGCAAUGUAUCAUUUGGCCUUGAUUUAAUGUACUGCACUUUUCUUCAUUGCUCUCUGUUCUUUAAUAAGUCAGACUCAUAUAGAACCUGAUAUUUCUUAGUGAUGUCUUCAGAUCCCAUGAAUGUCAUUUUGCACCAAAGGUUUGUAACCAUUGGGGAAUGUUUUCUUGCUCUGAUGUAUCAAGUUGCCAUGGGGGUGAUCUAGAGGUGAAAGCUAGCAAGCCAUCUCCUGAUAUUUUCCUUACUAGCAAGCUUAAUGCGGAACACUUAUAUUUCAGUACUUGUUUGUUUAAUUGUGUUAUUUAUCUGCAGGUCUCUUCCUUGUCCAAAGUAUGUCGUACCUAAUCAAGACAUGUUCAUUUAAUUUACCCGUCAUGUAAAUGACACAAUAUGAUUCACUUGUGUAUAGUGUAAACAUAUAUUUAUUUAUGGCAAGCAGGUGUUCAAAUUAUAGUUGUGAAACGUGUAUAGUGUAAGGAUAUAAUUAUUAAGGGAAGUGACGUCACAGUGGUCGUGCCUGGUCUUCUCCGAGUCUAUGCUUGUGGUUUGUGUUCUUUAGAUCUGUUCAUGCCCAGAUAUUGC
rnacentral:lncRNA from 1 species